UGCAACACAGUGAUUGCACUGGCCAUCCUUCUCGCUACUCGAGAUCGCAGGUUCAUCAUCUCCUUUUACAAUUGACAUGAAAGAGAAUCCUCCAAAAAUGAUUCUCUUGAUUUAUGCUCUGAAGUUUCUUCAUCUAUAUUAAUUCCUCUCUUUCAUUUUUUAUUUUGCAAUAUUUCAGGGCCAUGGAUUCUAGUAGGUGCUGGUGUUGUUUUGCUAUAUCUCAGCAGGGCUUUCCUUACGUUCUUUAAUUGUGUAUAUGGGGAAGAUAUCGAAAGUAUUGCUCAAGUAGUUCCAUCAACAAUCUGCUUUAUGUUUGCAAACAUAUACUAGCGUAGAGUUUGUGCUGUUUGGCCAUGGCUUUUCUAACCUUUUGUAUUCCUGUAUUCACCCGCUGAAGCAAAGUUCUUCAAAUGUGCAGAUUAUGGGGGAGUCCUUUUCCGAGUCAGGGCUGUUUUAAAUAACUGUAAUUUAAAUUAACUCAACUGAACUGGAACUGUGUUAUAAGAUAUCUUCAAAAUCCCAAGUUCCCUCUUUCAGGCUGUUCGCCUGUCUCUUCUAAUUUUUCUUUGCUCUGAUCCAAUGGUUGGCUUCAUCUAUGAAGAUAGUUUUGGAACCCUCUGAAAUGUCCACUCCAGGGCUGGAUAUUGAAAUUGAAAAUGUGGC
rnacentral:lncRNA from 1 species